AUGCUCAUCGAUGUGCACGCAAGCAGGCCCACGUCAGAACAAGGCGGCGAUGACAGCGACUUCAUCGAUGUGUUGCUUUCCAUUCAACAAGAGUACAAUCUUACGAGAGACCAUAUUAAGGCUCAGUUGGAGAUCAUGUUUGAAGCUGGCACUGAUACAUCAUUUAUAGUGUUGGAAUAUGCCAUGGUUCGGCUCAUGCAAAAACCCCACCUCAUGAAUAAGCUAAAAAACGAGGUAAGGAGCACUAUAUCCAAGGGGAAAGACAUGAUUGCUGAAGACGAUCUAAGCAGUUUGGCCUACCUAAAGGCAGUCAUCAAAGAGACACUCCGGCUCCAUAUGCCCGCACCGCUCCUUGUGCCUCACCUCUCCAUGGCCGACUGCAAAAUUAAUGGCUACACGAUACCAUCAGGGACGCGCGCCAUCGUCAACAGUUGGGCUCUUGCAAGGGAUCCCAGCAGCUGGGAGAGCGCAGAAGAGUUCAUGCCUGAGCGGUUCAUGGAAGGUGGUAGCGCUGCAACUAUGGACUACAAGGGAAUCGAUUUCCCCUACUUGCCCUUUGGGACUGGGCGGAGGAUCUGCCCAGGUAUCAACUUUGCAAUUGUGACCAUUGAAAUCAUGCUAGCAAAUCUCAUGUACCACUUCGACUGGAAGCUGCCAUCAGAAUCAAUGGAAGCUGGCAUCAGUAUGACUGAAUCAUUUGGGGUAACGGUGCACCGAAAGGAAAAGCUCCUCCUUGUCCCUGUAGUGCCGGAAGGUUAA
rnacentral:rRNA from 1 species